UACAUAUGUAUAUGUAUGUAUGCAUUUCAACAAAAAAUAUGGAGCAGGGCUAGAGCAAAUUUAUUAUUUAUCCUUUUGUGCACAUACAACUGUAAGCAACUGUUGAUGUAUGUAUGUAUGUGCAAGUUGCAGUGUGCAUGUGUGGACAGCUCAUUGUUAUGCCAAACAAUGCUUCGGAAAGCUGAUUUUUCAUUUUGACACAACUUGCGAAUGUGAACUAAUGGAUACAUAAAAAUUUCGGAACAGAAUUCCUUUUUUUUAGCAUUGCAUAAUGUGUACAAACAAAUAUGGAGAUUAACAUGUAUGUCGUUGUGUCAGAAUUGAAUUUGGAAAGUUGUACGUAUGUAUUGAAUGAUUGUAUGUAAGUAGUUGUAGCUCGAAAUUCAUCAUCUGGAAGAAAAAUAUGUUCUCUCCAAUGAUAUGCGCAACUAACAGUACUCGACUCGGCGUCUGACUGUCAUUGUAGAGGGUGUAUGUAUUUGACACCCUAUGCUGGAGAACGUGAGAGAGCGAAACACUAAACUAAGGCCGAACUACGGAGCACAUUCUAAGCAAUAGGUACAGUACAAUAUUGGCGCACACUGGUACUACGCUCUGUGAUACAGUGGUCCCCAAUUAAUAGCUACAUAAACCUUGGCAGUUAUUGGCGCUCAAAAUUAAAAACACAAAUAACAAAUUAUCAUUGAUAACACUUAUGGAUUGAUAAUCCAAAUUUACAUGAAAGAACCGAGACAAAAUUGAGUUUUUCAAGAUUCGAGCAACGAGUUCAUAUGUCAGCAGCCAAAAAACUUUACAGUGUAGAGCUAUGGUAUACAGACCACGAAUACAUAUAGCAGCCUCAGAGCCUACAUUGCGGAUAAUUCACUGCAUCACAAUCAUUUCGCAUUUGUGGAUCUAAAUUGCCACAAGAUGAGGAAUAACUGCCGCCCAUAAAUAUAAGUGUACACUCGUAUACACUUACAUAUAAAUACAUAUCUAUCUAUCUAAAUACAUAUAUGUAUAUUUGUACGUACGUACGUUGUAUAUAUUUUUUUUUAGCUCGACGCAAUUCAAUAUUUUCUCAAUCCAUUCAUAAAUCACCAUUAAAGCGGCAAUUUUUGUCACUGGCUGAAUCAAAAAAGCUAUAAACGUCGCAAAUAAGAUGAAACGAAACGAAGCUAAAUAAAUUCGAUUGCCCUGUAAAGCCCAUUAAAUCAAAUUAGCUUAAAAAGUAAA